rnacentral:lncRNA from 1 species
AAGGGUUAGGGGAAGGGGAGAGAAGCAAAAGCUUCAGGAGAAAUGAAAAACAAAAACGAGCAGAGAAGUUAGAAGGAAAAGAGAAAAGAAGGAGGAAGAAGUUGAUGCAGUGCGUUAGAACCAUAGCUAUAACUGUUGAGGAAUCUUAAGCACUGAUUGAAUUUUACUGGUAAUACUUGAACUUCUUCUUCUGGUAGAUUUUAAUUUUGUUUUCAAUGAUCGAAAGAUUCUAAAGAGUAAUUAAGAAUUUUCUUAGAAAUUAUACUAAUUCAAUCACGUAAUCAAGAAUUUUCUUCCUGAAGAAUCCAUAGAACUUUAUGAAAAUAGGUUAAUAAAAUAUAUGAAUAGGUUGGAGUUGAUAAAUUAGUAAUUACUUAUCCCGUGGGUAAAUAUAAUUCGGCGAAUUAAGAGUUAAAUAUGAAACCUUGAGGGUUGGGUAUUCUAAAUUAGCUAUGAAUUAGCCUAAACAUGGAAAUUAACAUGAGAUCGAUAUUAUGUAACUAUAGAUUGAUCGGAGGAAGUUGUACGAAUUGCUCGAGGUGAAGCAUUUGGUAUUUCAGCUCGAAUACCGUGAGUAGUAAUCUUAUUGCAAUUUGUAUUUUCAUAACUUACAUGAUUUACAUAUAAUAUUUAAUAUAAAUAUAUUACCGAUUAUUUUAAGUUACAUGUGGGACAAAUCUUUUACUCGAUAUGAUACCGAAAUAGUUAUUUGAGAUGAUUACCGUUGUUUUAAAUAUUCUUGUUGUCAUUAGAUAUGCUUUAAUGUUACUUGAAUUUACUGCUAUCGAAACGAAAUUACAUGAUUUGAUAAGAACCAAAAUGCCUUAUAUUGUUUUAAAAUACUUUCCUAUGAGUAUAUACGGAUUACAAAGACAAGUAUAUAUGUGAGUAGACUUUGAAGGAUCCCGUAGCUAACAGUGGGUUCGUUAGACCUGGGGAUUACAAAGACAAGUAUAUAUGUGAGUAGACUUUGAAGGAUCCCGUAGCUAACGGUGGGUUCGUUAGACCUGAUGCACCUUGUAAUUACAAAUUAUCAUUACAACACUCGCUAGUGGGAAGGUAGAACUAGCAUAAUGUUACUGAUUUCCCUCGAGUAGGGACUACCGUUAUAUUUGACUUCCACAGUUAUACCGAUUACAGAUCCAUUCACUGAAACCUCCCAAAUAUGAAUAUUGAUAUUAUACAGUGGUUACCGAGCUUAUUACUAAAUUGUCAAUUGUAUUAUACUAUAAAAAACAUGAUGAGACUGAAAACUAUUUCUUGUUUCUGAAAUGGAAUUUUUAUGUGAUAGGUUUUCAAUAUCUUUGCCUUGUAUUUUGAUGAUCUAACAAACUUAAUGUCAAGGAAUAGAUAGGGAACCUGACUCAUUUGGACUACACUGCAUAUAACGGAUUCCAGCUAAAGGUGAACUGCUACAGCUUCAGGAGCUAGGAAACUAAAUAAGGACCUGAUACCCUUGUGGUUCCCUCGUAGCAGUAUAAAGUCAAUUGGACACAACUAGAAAUGAAGUGACUGCCUGCAUUGUUUCUGCCGCACUGCACUGGCACCAGCGUCCACUCAUUCCUUAACCAACCAAAGUGCUCACAUCAUUUCAAGUGAUGUAAUCAAGGUGUACCAACAAUGAGUCUAUAUUAAAACAUCAC